rnacentral:rRNA from 1 species
UACGUAGGGGGCAAGCGUUGUCCGGAUUUAUUGGGCGUAAAGAGCGUGUAGGCGGCCGUACAGGUCAGCUGUGAAAACUCGAGGCUCAACCUCGAGACGUCGGUUGAAACCGUACGGCUAGAGUCCGGAAGAGGAGAGUGGAAUUCCCGGUGUAGCGGUGAAAUGCGCAGAUAUCGGGAAGAACACCCGUGGCGAAGGCGGCUCUCUGGGACGGUACUGACGCUGAGACGCGAAAGCUAGGGUAGCAAACGGG